CACGCCGUAAACGAUGAUAACUAGCUGUCCGGGUUCAUGGAACUUGGGUGGCGCAGCUAACGCAUUAAGUUAUCCGCCUGGGGAGUACGGUCGCAAGAUUAAAACUCAAAGGAAUUGACGGGGGCCUGCACAAGCGGUGGAGCAUGUGGUUUAAUUCGAAGCAACGCGCAGAACCUUACCAACGUUUGACAUCCGUAUCGCGAUGAGCAGAGAUGCUGUUCUUCAGUUCGGCUGGAUAAGUGACAGGUGC
rnacentral:rRNA from 1 species